rnacentral:rRNA from 1 species
AGUAGGGAAUAUUGGUCAAUGGGCGCAAGCCUGAACCAGCCAUGCCGCGUGCAGGAUGAAAGCUCUCUGAGUUGUAAACUGCUUUUGUACAGGAGCAAAAAAGCCCCUGCGGGGGUUCUUGAGAGUACUGUAAGAAUAAGCACCGGCUAAUUCCGUGCCAGCAGCCGCGGUAAUACGGAAGGUGCAAGCGUUAUCCGGUUUUAUUGGGUUUAAAGGGUGCGUAGGCGGCUUAUUAAGUCAGUUGUGAAAUCCUAGUGCUUAACGCUAGAACUGCGAUUGAUACUAUUAGGCUUGAGUUAAGAAGAGGUAGGCAGAAUUUAUGGUGUAGUAGUGAAAUGCUUAGAUAUCAUAAGGAAUACCAAUAGCGUAGGCAGCUUACUGGUCUUUAACUGACGCUGAGGCACGAAAGCGUGGGGAGCAAA